rnacentral:tRNA from 1 species
AGCUCAGGGGUAGAGCAACCGGCUCAUAACCGGUCGGUCCCUGGUUCGAUCCCAGCC